ACAACUAACUUAUGGAUUUGUUUUGGCCUUAGACCCCGUGUUUUUUCCACAAGACUCAACAGCUCUCUUUCCACAGAAACUCAGCCCCUCUCUCGACCUAGAGUGAACUUCCACAUAAACUCAGAUCGAUUCAUGUCUCAAAACCAGGAGAGGUUCUUCUCCCCCCAAAAGAGAUAGAAGCUACAAACGCACUCCUCGGGCUGAGUUUUGGUAUAGAUCAGAAGAGUCUUCUCAACCUCUCUCCGAUUUUGAGGCCCUCGUCACUAUUGGUCAAGUUCUUCAAUUUGAAGAAGGAGCGAGUUCGAUUCAUUGUUGUUCAUUGUCUAGGUGCGGGGACUGGGCAUUAGGUGCUGGAAAAAAUAUGUCAAAACAACUCAAUCUGUCAACGCUGUAAUCAAUUCUUUCACUUCGACGAAAACCCAGACCUCUCUCUCAGUCUCUUAGUCCCCUUGACCGUCGACGGUAGCAGCACAGUGGUCUUCUCAUUCAUUAUCAAGUUCCUUUCUUUUCAACGUUUCUGGUGUUAAUUCUUGAUUCUUGGAUUUGGGUUUUGAUCUUUCCUAGAAUCAAUUUCACAUAUAGUUCUUUAUUGCAGCUUGACUUGCGGUCUGGAGCAAAGAAGUCACUAGCUGAUCCCCCGAAACAAACAUUUGCUCUAAAAUCUUGUGAUAUCAAUUCCACUAGGCCUCAUCUGCUAUUAGUUGGUGGGAGUGAUGCAUUUGCGCGUUUAUAUGAUAGAAGGAUGCUUCCUCCUCUGACAUCCUGCCGGAAAAGGACGUCUCCACCUCCUUGUGUUAACUAUUUCUGUCCGAUGCAUCUCUCUGAUCGUGGACGUACAAGCUUGCACUUAACUCAUGUUACAUUUAGCCCAGAUGGAGAAGAGGUUCUACUUAGUUAUAGUGGGGAGCAUGUAUAUUUGAUGAACGUAAAUCAUGCUGGUGGAAGUGAUGUGCAGUAUACUUCAGGAGAUGCUUCAAAGAUAAUGAGCUUCAUACCUAUACUGAAUGGGCUAGAACUGCAACAACCAGCAUCCAGUGUCUUCAGAAGUCGUCUUCCUAAAAGACGCAAGGCCACUGCUAUGUUGCUGCAGCAUGAAAAGUGCUGUAAACUAACUCAAAUUGCUGAGAAGUCCUUGGAGGAGGGAACUUUUAUCAUGGCAUUGAGGCAUGCAAUGAGGUGCUGGAUGGAUAUGGUCGCGAUAUUGGGCCCAUACUAAGGCAUGAUUGUCUCUGUACUCGUGCCGCAUUGUUGCUUAAGCAUAAUUGGAAAAACGAUGCUCAUAUGGCUAUAAGAGAUUGCUAUAAUGCCCGGAAAAUUGAUAACUCCUCUUUCAGAGCUCAUUACUAUAUGUCUGAAGCUUUACCACAGAAGCUGUAGAAUUUGCUAUGGCAACACAAUCUUUAGCUCCGUCAAAUCCUGAGGUAACAGCACAAUUGGAGUGUAAAAAGAAAGCUUGCUGCAGGUAUCUGCUGGAGCGUCUAUGGUGGAUAGGGUUCAUUAAAGCAGGAAUUUUUUUGAAUCCAAUUGUCAGGCCUAUCAAUUACCCUGCAUUCUAUGAGUGGGGAACGAGGUCAAAUUUGAUUUACACAGACAAGGAUAUUGAUGAGAUCCGAGUGGAAUGGGCUAAGCAUGUUUUGAAGUUCCCAGAAAAUUAAGUAUCAGCCUAUAUAUAUGCUUUUGUUUCUGGUAGGUUAUGAGCAGUAGUAGUGUCUAGGAACUUCUUUUGUGCAUUUUGACAGAACUGAUGGAAAGUGUUGAACAAAUGCAUGCAGUUGCUGUAACUACUCUAUGGAUGCUACUAGGUUUUUGUCUUAGUUAGAUUAGGAUCCAUGCAACAAUGGCAGUAAUUAAAAUCGGUUGAUGUAAAGGCUAGCAUGCUUGCUAGUUUAGUAUUAUGCUACUGAUGGGAAUGUAUUUUGGUGGGUUAAUUUAUGCAAUGAGGAAUUUGUUGA